rnacentral:lncRNA from 1 species
AUGCUGACACUAACUGAACUUACCAUUGUUUUUUGGAGCGGCACUAUCCGGACUUUCCACUUCACAAUUAUUCGGUUCUUGUUUGACACUCAACAAGACCAGCCAGGAAGUAAAGGACGACAGCGCUCAAAUGAGGAUCCAUUCUGCCGAAAAGUUGAAAAGAAAAAGUGUAGAAAACAAACUACUUCAAUCGAAAUUUAUGAAACUUGUCAAUUGAAAAGUGGCAUUGACACGAAAGUUACGUUUUUCGGGGAGUUAUGUUAUCAGUUAAAAAUCACAUCCGAUGUCGAGGUGUGA